rnacentral:rRNA from 1 species
UACAGAGGGUGCAAGCGUUAAUCGGAGUUACUGGGCGUAAAGGGCGCGUAGGUGGAUUACUCAGUCAGGCGUGAAAAGCCCGGGCUUAACCUGGGUCGUGCGUCUGAUACUGGUAAUCUUGAGUCGUAGAGAGGGAAGUGGAAUUUCCGGUGUAGCGGUGAAAUGCGUAGAGAUCGGAAGGAACAUCAGUGGCGAAGGCGGCUUCCUGGCUACAGACUGACACUGAGGAGCGAAAGCGUGGGGAGCAAACAGG